GCAGUGAUGGUUCAGUGGUAGAAUUUUCACUUUCCAUGUGGGAGACCUGGGUUCGAUUCCUGGCCAAUGCC
rnacentral:tRNA from 1 species